UGAGAUCAUUUAGGACCCAAACCCUUAAAACAAGUAAAACACUCUAACAUAAAAUCUGCUUAGUGAGAAGAAUUUAUCUUAUAAGACAGAAAAUAAGCAAAAAUCAGCUUUAUUUGAGAUAUUUCAUCUGACUUAGAUUUCACAUUUUGCAGUGCACAGAUUGAGAUACACAUAUGCAAAUCAUUUUGCUCCAAUAAUAUUCCCUAGUUUAUUAUUAUUACACAGACUGCCCUUCAUAGUUAACAUGCUUCACAUAAAGUCACGAUAUCACCUGUGCACCUUUGUCAUUUCCUGCCACUCACCAUGAUGUCACCUUUAAGGAGCAGCGCCGGCUCGAUGGUCACACAAAGUCGCCUUCCCCCGCUGCCUUGAAGGUCGCUGUACACCAAACACAACACAAGCAAGUCACAUGACUAGAGAUUGCAAGAUAGACUUGGGGAGCAAAAAAAAGGACAAAGCUGACUAUGUUUAGUUCCCUGGCUGAAAAGCGGCUAACAGCUAAUUACAGUCGCCGUCAAAAGUUGACAUACUGUCACGGCGCGGAUUCGAACCCACGUCUCCUCGGCGAACAGUGCGCCAAGAGGCGCCUCUGAUGACAGCGCACUCAGACCGGCCCUCACUCGUGCUGAGUGCAGCACGCCCACGCAGCAACGAGCCCGCAGCCUAUUGUCAAUCUGCUCACCUGGUACUUAUGAGGGCAAGGCCAAUAAAGGACCAGUGGACCCAAGGAUCGGCGCGGGAACUUAGUUCUCAGAUGCGUCGUGUCACCACCGCUGCUUCCCUCCUGGCUCCCAUUUUGAACUUCCUGGAUCCCCGACCUCUGUUUUGGACUUUGGACUCGCUCUCCUGCUUUUGACCCCCUUCCGUUAUGGACUUCCCUGCCUGCCUCGCCCCGGUCUACACCACCUCCAACACUUUGGUAAGACACUUCAGUUCAUUUCCACACUUAGCCUUACACCAAUCUACCAUGAAUUGAUUAACGUGGACCCCGACUUAAACGAUUGAUUGAUACUUUUAUUAGUAGAUUGCACAGUGCAGUACAUAUUCCGUACAAUUGACCACUAAAUGGUAACACCCGAAUAAGUUUUUCAACUUGUUUAAGUCGGGGUUCACGUUAAUCA